AGCGGAGCGUGUGGUUUAAUUCGUUGCUACACGAAGAACCUUACCUGGGUUUGACAUAAUGGUGUAGGGAUCCGAAAGGUGACCGACCUUCGGGGAGCCAUUACAGGUGUUGCAUGGCUGUCGUCAGCUCGUGUCGUGAGAUGUUCGGUUAAGUCCGCUAACGAGCGCAACCCUCGCUGUGUGUUAUAUGUGUCACACAGGACUGCUGGUAUUAAGCCGGAGGAAGUGGGACGACGUCAAGUCAGCAUGACCUUUAUAUCCAGGGCUACACACACGCUACAAUGGUCAGUACAAUGGGUUGCCAGGCCGCGAGGCGGAGCCAAUCCUAAAAAGCUGGCCUCAGUUCAGAUUGCAGUCUGAAACUCGACUGCAUGAAGUCGGAGUUGCUAGUAAACGCAGGUCAGCUAUACUGCGUUGAAUACGUUCCCGGGGCUU
rnacentral:rRNA from 1 species